rnacentral:rRNA from 1 species
GACGAACGCUGGCGGCGUGCUUAACACAUGCAAGUCGAACGAAGAGCGAUGGAAGCUUGCUUCUAUCAAUCUUAGUGGCGAACGGGUGAGUAACGCGUAAUCAACCUGCCCUUCAGAGGGGGACAACAGUUGGAAACGACUGCUAAUACCGCAUACGAUCUGACCUCGGCAUCGAGGAUAGAUGAAAGGUGGCCUCUACAUGUAAGCUAUCACUGAAGGAGGGGAUUGCGUCUGAUUAGCUAGUUGGAGGGGUAACGGCCCACCAAGGCGAUGAUCAGUAGGCGGUCUGGGAGGAUGGACGGCCCCCUUGGGACUGGGACACGGCCCAGACUCCUUCGGGAGGCAGCCGUGGGGAAUCUUCCGCCAUGGACGAAAGUCUGACGGGGCAACGCCGCGUGAGUGAUGACGGCCUUCGGGUUGUAAAGCUCUGUUAAUCGGGACGAAAGGCCUUUUUGCGAAUCGUGAGAAGGAUUGACGGUACCGGAAUAGAAAGCCACGGCUAACUACGUG